rnacentral:rRNA from 1 species
GACGAACGCUGGCGGCGUGCUUAACACAUGCAAGUCGAACGGAAAGGCCCUGCUUUUGUGGGGUGCUCGAGUGGCGAACGGGUGAGUAACACGUGAGUAACCUGCCCUUGACUUUGGGAUAACUUCAGGAAACUGGGGCUAAUACCGGAUAGGAGCUCCUGCUGCAUGGUGGGGGUUGGAAAGUUUCGGCGGUUGGGGAUGGACUCGCGGCUUAUCAGCUUGUUGGUGGGGUAGUGGCUUACCAAGGCUUUGACGGGUAGCCGGCCUGAGAGGGUGACCGGCCACAUUGGGACUGAGAUACGGCCCAGACUCCUACGGGAGGGAGCAGUUGGGAAUAUUGCACAAUGGGCGGAAGCCUGAUGCAGCAACGCCGCGUGCGGGAUGACGGCCUUCGGGUUGUAAACCGCUUUCGCCUGUGACGAAGCGUGAGUGACGGUAAUGGGUAAAGAAGCACCGGCUAACUACGUG